CGCUGUCAUUUUCGCUUCCCAAAGGCGCAACACGAAGUCAGUCAGUGCUGUCAACGCGAAUUGGUAGCGCAGCAAACGACUUGAAGAUUGGUCUGUUGCAAAUGAAAGAGAAAGUCAAAACUGUGAAGUACUGUGAAAAUGGUGGACAAACUAGUGAACAGCGAGGCUAACGCGCGUCGGAUACAGAUGGUAGAGAACUGUUUCGGCAGUUCUGGACAACCUCUCUUCGUACCGGGCAGGGUCCUGGUCGGGGAAGGCGUACUCACCAAAAUGUGCCGCAAACGUCCCAAAGCGCGUCAAUUUUUCUUGUUCAAUGAUAUUCUUGUUUACGGCAAUAUUGUGAUUGGAAAGAAGAAAUACAACAAGCAACAUCUGAUACCACUGGAGGAAGUACAGCUACAGGCACUGGAAGAUAAUGGACAAUAUAGAAACGGUUGGCUGAUACGUACUGCUACGAAGUCGUUCGCAGUUUACGCGGCCACACAGACCGAGAAACAGGAAUGGAUGGCUCACAUAAAUAAAUGUAUUGAGGAUUUGUUGCGUAAAAGUGGUAAGAAGCCAGUAGAGAAUCAUGCAGCUGUUUGGGUACCUGACAGUGAAGCUAAUGUUUGCAUGCAUUGUAAGAAAACACAAUUUACGAUGCUUAUUCGGAGGCAUCACUGCCGAAAUUGUGGUGCAGUAGUUUGUGGGCCUUGUUCAUCGAAAAAAUUCCUUCUGCCAGGGCAGAGCAAUAAACCUUUACGUGUCUGUUUGGACUGCUACGACAAUUUAAGCUCCUUGAAACGAGAAGAAAACAAAACAAUUAACGCGAAUAAUAACAAGCCCAUUACAUCCCCGGAAAGCUCUGGUGAUGAUGAUUCUGACGACGAGGAGGAUUCUAAAGAAACUCAUGAUCAGAGCUUCAGAAGCCAUUGUAUUCCAACGGUAGUAUGCGUGUGAUGAAAGGAAAUAUAGUGUGAUAUGGAUUAAAGAAAUCUGAAACCAAGUCUGAUUUUACACAGCAUAUUCAGGAUAAACGAUGAAAACAGACACUGGAACUAAUGUUCAUGGAGGAUCCAAAGUUCUACGGAGACGAGAAGCCGGAGAAAUAGCCGUAGCAGCACAGAAAAGCAAUCCACCCACAUCGAAACCAGAUUUGUAGAAGUCUCACCAACAUUGCAUGGAAUAGGAAAUAUAUUCAAUUGUCUGAAAAAAACAGGACAUAAUGUAUUUUAUUUAAUUGAUAUUUGAGAACCGUGAAAGCGGUUUAGAUAAAUGAGAGUUAUUAUUUUAGGACUUUUCCGUUUUGAUCAUAAAUAAAAAUGUAUAAUAUUUUCAAUAUUUAGUGAUAUAAUUUCUGGAAAAUAUUCAUGGAGAUAUACAUUUCUUUUUUUACAAUGAUUCAAUAUAAUUUUACAUUGGAUUCAGGCGGCACUGCAUCUCGAAUUAAGAUCAUUUAAAAGAACUACUUUUAAUAACCAUUUAGAGUCACACAAUAGAAAAAAAAACUGUGAUUUGCUCUCCCAUGAAAAUGACCAAUUGGGCAACGUCAAUGAUCUAGCAACAUGAAGUCUACAAAUUCAUAGUGUCCGAUCAUUUCACGAAAGCAUUUUGAAAGUAAAUGCUAGGCCCUCCUCACCAUAAGAUCGAGAGUUUUUAUUUUAAUUUCCAACAUUACUGCAGUUAAUAGCAUCAAUAGUAUUUGUGCAUCAAAUAAAUCAUAGGAAAGGUACAAAAAUAAGUCCAUAUAACAUACCUUCAGAGUAUAAUCGGAAUUUCGAAGCAAUUUAUCUUGAUUUUUCUAAUUAUGACGAGAAUAUCAAUUUUUAAAUUAUUAUAGUUUUGCAGUUUCAGUUAUUGAAAUACACACGAUUAAAAUAUUUAAGGUUAUUAAUAAAAGAAUUAAAUUGCUCACA